GACGAACGCUGGCGGCGUGCUUAACACAUGCAAGUCGAACGGUAAGGCCCUUCGGGGUACACGAGUGGCGAACGGGUGAGUAACACGUGGGUGAUCUGCCCUGCACUUCGGGAUAAGCCUGGGAAACUGGGUCUAAUACCGGAUAGGACUCCUGGCUUCAUGGUUGGGGGUGGAAAGCUUUUGCGGUGUGGGAUGGGCCCGCGGCCUACAGGCUUGUUGGUGGGGUAAUGGCCUACCAAGGCGACGCCGGGUAGCCGGCCUGAGAGGGUGACCGGUCACACUGGGACUGAGAUACGGCCCAGAAUCCUACGGGAGGCAGCAGUGGGGAAUAUUGCACAAUGGGCGCAAGCCUGAUGCAGCGACGCCGCGUGAGGGAUGACGGCGUUCGGGUUGUAAACCUCUUUCAGCUAUGACGAAGCGCAAGUGACGGUAGUAGCAGAAGAAGGACCGGCCAACUACGUGCCAGCAGCCGCGGUAA
rnacentral:rRNA from 1 species